CACGUAGGGAGCAAGCGUUGUCCGGAUUUAUUGGGCGUAAAGAGCUCGUAGGCUGUUCGAUAAGUCGGGUGUGAAACCUCCAGGCUCAACCUGGAGACGCCACCCGAUACUGUCAUGACUAGAGUCCGGUAGGGGAGCGUGGAAUUCCUGGUGUAGCGGUGAAAUGCGCAGAUAUCAGGAGGAACACCGAUGGCGAAGGCAGGUCUCUGGGCCGAUACUGACGCUGAGGAGCGAAAGCGUGGGGAGCGAGCAGG
rnacentral:rRNA from 1 species